UCAUGGUUGCUCACUUGCCCUAAGCUCACGUUAAUCACUUUGUAAACAGACGGGGUUAGGAUAAACUAUCGUUUCACUAUCAAUUGUCGUUGAGCAAACACCGAAACCUCUAUAUUACUGGGGGGUACUUCAAUGUUUUUGCGAGAAUAUUAGCUUGAGAUAUGGGUGAAUCAUUUUCAGAAAUGAGACUUUUUGUACUGCUAAGUAUCAUUGAUACAUUGUAGAGAUGUUAAACAAAUGGAAUAUAAUAUAAUGCAAUACGACCUCGGCAAACUGCGUCGUUUUCUUAAUGUUCUAUAAAAUCUUGUGCUGCUAAAAUUCGUGAUAGCCCAUGGCAAAACAAUAAACGCCAUCAAAAGUGAGAAAGACAAUAGGAGUAAAUUCUUUGGAGAAAAAAUAAAAGGGUUUGUGAUGAAUUAUGAGAUUUUCAUUAUGCAAGUAUGUCAAGCAUUUUUGGGCUUUUAAAAUGUAUCUAAAUGAAGUUUAAAACGUUCGGAUGGGAUUUACUACCAACUAAUCAUAACUAGCACCUUUUGAUUAAAUCCCAAAGUAAUGAAAGAAAGAUAACACACAUCUUUCAUAUGUUGACUAAG